UACGGAGGGUGCAAGCGUUAAUCGGAAUUACUGGGCGUAAAGCGUGCGUAGGUGGUUCGUUAAGUCCGUUGUGAAAGCCCCGAGCUCAACUUGGGAAUUACAGUGGAUACUGGCGAGCUAGAGUGCGGUAGAGGAAGGUGGAAUUCCCGGUGUAGCGGUGAAAUGCGUAGAGAUCGGGAGGAACACCAGUGGCGAAGGCGGCCUUCUGGACCAGCACUGACACUCAAGCACGAAAGCGUGGGGAGCAAACAGG
rnacentral:rRNA from 1 species